CCUCCCCCAGCCUCGCUGCCGCCUUGCAGUUUGAUCUCAGGCUGCUGUGCUAGCAAUCAGCGAGACUCCGUGGGCGUAGGACUCUCCGAGCCAGGUGACGGAUAUAAUCUCGUGGUGCGCCGUUUUUUAAGCCCGCCGGAAAAGCGCAGUAUUCGGGUGGGAGUGACCCGAUUUUCCAGUGAGAUGAACCCGGUACCUCAGUUGGAAAUGCAGAAAUCACCCGUCUUCUGCAUCGCUCACGCUGGGAGCUGUAGACUGGAGCUGUUCCUAUUCAGCCAUCUUGGCUCCACCU
rnacentral:lncRNA from 1 species